rnacentral:rRNA from 1 species
AACGAACGCUGGCGGCAGGCCUAGCACAUGCAAGUCGAACGCUCCGCAAGGGGAGUGGCAGACGGGUGAGUAACACGUGGGAAUCUUCCUAUUGGUACGGAAUAGCUCAGGGAAACUUGGGGUAAUACCGUAUAAGCCCGUGAGGGGAAAGAUUUAUCGCCGAUAGAUGAGCCCGCGUCUGAUUAGCUAGUUGGUGAGGUAACGGCUCACCAAGGCGACGAUCAGUAGCUGGUCUGAGAGGAUGACCAGCCACACUGGGACUGAGACACGGCCCAGACUCCUACGGGAGGCAGCAGUGGGGAAUAUUGGACAAUGGGCGCAAGCCUGAUCCAGCCAUGCCGCGUGAGUGACGAAGGUCUUCGGAUUGUAAAGCUCUUUUGCCAGGGACGAUAAUGACGGUACCUGGAGAAUAAGCCCCGGCUAACUUCGUGCCAGCCGCCGCCGUAAGAC